rnacentral:rRNA from 1 species
UACGAAGGGGGCUAGCGUUGUUCGGAUUUACUGGGCGUAAAGCGCACGUAGGCGGAUUGUUAAGUCAGGGGUGAAAUCCUGGAGCUCAACUCCAGAACUGCCUUUGAUACUGGCAAUCUUGAGACCGGAAGAGGUAAGUGGAACUGCGAGUGUAGAGGUGAAAUUCGUAGAUAUUCGCAAGAACACCAGUGGCGAAGGCGGCUCACUGGCCCGGUACUGACGCUGAGGUGCGAAAGCGUGGGGAGCAAACAGG